rnacentral:rRNA from 1 species
GACGAACGCUGGCGGCGUGCUUAACACAUGCAAGUCGAACGAUGAAGCUAGAGCUUGCUCUGGUGAAUUAGUGGCGAACGGGUGAGUAACACGUGAGUAACCUGCCCCGAACUCUGGGAUAACUGCUGGAAACGGUAGCUAAUACUGGAUACGACCUACGAAGGCAUCUUCUGUAGGUGGAAAGAAUUUCGGUUCGGGAUGGACUCGCGGCCUGUCAGCUUGUUGGUGAGGUAAUGGCUCACCAAGGCGACGACGGGUAGCCGGCCUGAGAGGGUGACCGGCCACACUGGGACUGAGACACGGCCCAGACUCCUACGGGAGGCAGCAGUGGGGAAUAUUGCACAAUGGGCGCAAGCCUGAUGCAGCGACGCCGCGUGAGGGAUGACGGCCUUCGGGUUGUAAACCUCUUUCACCAGGGGCGAAUUUAGGACGGUACCUGGAGAAGAAGCACCGGCCAACUACGUGCCAGCCGCCGCGGUAA